rnacentral:rRNA from 1 species
UAAAAAAUUAUUUAUUUUAGGUAGUAACAGAUUUCUUGAAACCUAAAGAAUUUGGCGGUAUUUUAAAUAAUUAGAGGAACCUGUUAGGUAAAUGAUAAUCCACAACAUAUCUUACCUGAAUUUAGUUUGUAUACCGUUGUUUUUAGAUUAUGUUUAAAAAUUAUGAUCAAAAUUAAUUAAUUUCUAUAAAUCAAAUCAAGGUGCAGCAUAUUUAGGUCUUAAUGGGUUACAAUAUAUUUAUAAUAUAUAACGGAUAAAUUAUGAAAAUGUUUUUGAAGGUGGAUUUAAAAGUAACUUGAAAUUAAAAUGUUUGGGUGAAUAAAAAUUUAAAAUAUGC